rnacentral:rRNA from 1 species
UACGUAGGUGGCAAGCGUUGUCCGGAUUUAUUGGGGUUAAAGGGUGCGUAGGCGGCCCGGUAAGUCAGUGGUGAAAGCCUCCAGCUCAACUGGAGAACUGCCAUUGAUACUGCCGGGCUUGAGUACAGACGAGGUUGGCGGAAUUGAUUGUGUAGCGGUGAAAUGCAUAGAUACAAUCAAGAACUCCGAUUGCGUAGGCAGCUAACUAGGCUGUAACUGACGCUGAGGCACGAAAGCGUGGGGAGCGAACAGG